GCCAACGUGAGGGGUUUUCUGGUGUUCGGCCUUCUCUCUCUUCCUCUCUCUCUCUCCGUGCGCAGUGUUGUGUGGGUCCGUGUGGUCCAUGUGUAGUGAGGGCUGGCGGUCAUACACUGCCGUCUGGGGGAAAAUAACAGAGAUACAUUAGCCGAGUCUUUGGAGACCUCUUUCAUUUCUGUGUACGUCGGUGCGGCUUAUAAAGCCAGGUCCUGAUGGGGCGCAGGUGUGACAGCUCAGCCCAUAAAGAGCAGGUGCAGGUGUGCCUGCUCCGUUUCCAGGGCGAUGCUGAUAAGAGCUCGGGACUUGUGUCACACUUCUGGCUGAUAUAGAUUAUCGAGUUUUCCUCACCGUUGAGGCCAGAAAGAAUCGAGAAGGGCGAGGACCGGUCGGCCAUUUAUCUUUAAUCUGUUGGGUGGCCUCCCCCAGCUCGAUGGCCUCUGCCAGCUCAUCGACGUUGGUGGGGUUCCGCAUGCCGGCUGCUUGCCGGAGAGGGUGGGGAAGGGCCCGUAAAAGGCAGUCCACUACUACGCGCUCCGCUGCAUGGUGUAUCCAGUGUUGGCCGAGGCGUAAGAGGCCAGUGACUUGAGCAUGGGCUGGUCGCCAUGGGUUGUAGGACCAGUCGUGGAAGAGUUGGGCAGCGCUAAUGGGCAACAGUCCAACCCGCCCCAAGAUUUCCUUCUUCAGCUCUUCAUAUGAACCGCUCCGCUUGGGGGUAAGCAUAAAGUAUGCCCAUUGUUCCUCUCCCAUCAGCAACGAUGCCACGAUCCACGCCCACUCGUCCCUGGGCCAUUCCUCCCGGGAAGCAAUCAUCUCAAACAUUUGGAGGAAUGUCUCGACGUCAUAAUGCGCCGUCAUCUUGAUGAUGAGUUGUGCAGCCUGGGCUCGGGAAUCAGUUAGUGGAGUUCACGGGGCGACAUCUGGAGACAUCUCUUACCUCUGUGUUCGUCAGUGCAGCUUAUAAAGCCAGGUCCUGAUGGGGCGCAGGUGUGACUGCUCAGCCUGUAACGAGCAGGUGCAGGUGUGCCUGCUCCAUUGAUUCUUUUCUAUACCUUACGGUGGGACCCCCGGCCAAUAGCCAGUGUUGGGUGAGGCAUGAGAGGCCAGUGACUUGAGCACGGGCCGGCCGCCAUGGAGUGUAGGACCAGUCGUGGAAGAGUUGGGCAGUGCUAAUGGGCGACAGUCCAACCCGCCCCAAGAUUACCAGGACAUAUAACUAAGGAUAAAGGGUGUUUAGGAGUAAAAUAAUUUUCUCGUAUGUGUAUGGUAAAAAACAAAUGUGCAUGAUGCAGAGGAACCAUGUUUGUUUGAUUGGAUCUCUUUAAAAAGACUUGUAUUAAGUAUCUCGAUAUAAAUGGAUUCAUUUUGAAAUGUCUUUAUCGCGAUUUUGGUUACCUAAACCUUUACUACACUGUAAAAAAAGUCUAUAAAAAUACAGUACAAUAUACUGUAGUAAUUUAAAGGAAUUGUCCGUAUUUUCUUUUUACAGGCGCUUCUCCGUAUUUUAAAAAUACGCUUUGCAUUGUGGGUACAAGAAGAUAUUGAACAGCUGUUAACGUUAAAUCUGAAAUUUCUUGGGGAAGUCGUGGCCUAAUGGUUAGAGGGUUGGACUCCCAAUCGAAGGGUUGUGAGUUCUAGUCUCGGGCCGGACGGAAUUGUGGGUGGGGGGAGUGCAUGAACAGCUCUCUCUCCACCUUCAAUACCACGACUUAGGUGCCCUUGAGCAAGGCAUCGAACAUAAAUGGUCACCCACUGCUCCGGGUGUGUGUGUGUGUGUGUGUGUGUGUGUGUGUGUGUGUGUGUGUGUGUGUGUGUGCGCGCAUGUGCAUUUCGGAUGGGUUAAAUGCAGAGCACAAAUUCUGAGUAUGGGUCACCAUACUUGGCUGAAUGUCACUUCACUUUAAGUGCGGUACAACUGUGUUUAUAGCGUUAUAUGCCUUUAACAGGAGCUAACAGUAAUUGACAAGAAAAGAAGACACCAUUAACGUUAUGACAUUUUAUUUAAAAGAGAUUAUACGACCAGGUGAAGAUCUGACAUCACAGAGUUCUUCAAGGAUAACACACCUUUUCUGCCAAACGAGGUAGGUUUAGACAUUUUAUCAGCCUUUUUAUGUUAAACACAUGAUAAGUUAAUUCUGUAACUGGCACGCUGUCUGUGAAUGCACACAUGUCAUGCAGCGCAGAAAAUGCCGCUUCAUACAAGUUCUCUUUCUCUUACAGACAAAAGAACGCACAAUUGUCAAAAUGAACAUUUUUGGCGAGUGAGAGUCUCAAAUAAGUUGAAAAGUCUUUUUACUUUAUGAUGUAAAGAUUAGGAAUGUGUCAGAUGUCCAUCGAUGUGAGUCAUGUUUUAAAGGGACAGUGGUUCAUGACAUUCAUGGUGUUUCUGUUUCUUUUCGUUUUCUUUUCUAAAGGCAGGUCAUAAUUGCUGCUGUACUUUGCAUCCCGAGUCCCCACUGCAUUCUUAUCAUGGAUUGCUGUCAAGUUACUGUUUCCUCCCCCAUUGUGGCCAAGCUACACAUUCUGUUUUAUUUUAAACAUAAAACACCUACGCUGGAAUUCAUUCAAAUUCUUCCUGUGAAGAAAUCCUGAAUGAGCGUCAAAGUUUCAGAUGAAGGGAAUCUACGCUUCCAAGACUCAUAUAUGAACUACUUCUAGAUUCCAAGUUUUUUCAAAUCUCAACUUAGGACUUGGACUGAACAUGCAGCAAAAGAAAAAGAAAAAAGUAGCUUCCUCAAAUGGGUACAUGGCAAGAGAUACUAAAAGCACACAAACAAUUGAAGCCCUUAUCUUAAUUGAGAUUGAAUAGUUUUUUUUUAGUUUAACAUUGAAAUGUCAGGCAUGAGUGCAUAAAUUUUUGUUUCUAUUUUCAAUUGCUGUACAAGGAAGUUUUUUUUUCUUCUCAAUGUCAAUUGUAGAUGCAGAUAAUUGAGCAUGAAUAAGAGGUUAGUUAAUCUAACUAGGUUUAGUUCACCCAUAAUAUUAUAUAAAAAAAUCUCAUUCCAAUCCUGUUAGACUUUUGUUCAUUUCACGAGUUCACCCUUACAUCUAAUCUGAAGGCGAAUAGUAGGCACAUUUUGGCGUGCUGUCCUGGGGGAGGGGUCCGGGCCGGAAGCAUAGCCCGAACCCAAAUAACUCCCCCUUUCCCUAAUUUGGGAUAAAUAGAUAAGAAGUGAGGAGUUGGGGUGGAGGAGGGAUGCCGAAAAACUGUCCUGGGACAGGAGGUAGGAAGACUGGAUAUAUUUAUGCUUGUGUGCUAGUUAAGAUGAUUAGCUAAACGAGAUGCACCUGUGCCAAAUUGGAUGAUUAUCUGAUCGUGCUCCUCCGGAACUUUGUUAAUAAAACCACAUUUUUGGAAAAAUAAUAAAGAUCCUUUUUAAAGAGCCACACAGAUGGGAAAUCAAAAAUUACCUGUAUUACAGUGUAUGAUGUAGCUGUCUAUCAGUGUAAACAAUUGUGCAAAGUAAUUAAACCAAAAUGUACACGAUUUAUAAAGUUAUUGGCUUCUAAAGUAAGGAGUCGACUCUGAAUCGCUGAAACGAGUUGUUAUAGUUUUUAAAUCUUUUGCCCAUCUCUAUGUACGUCACUAGGAACACUUUGCAUAAUAAUCUCCGCCUACCGUCUUGGGAGAAACGGAACUCUGACAAGCCCCACCCACCCACACAGACGCUCUGGUUGGUGUGAUAGCAUCAUGUCGAGGAGACAGUGUGUUUUCAAUUGUAACGGGAAGUUUGUUUUAUUUUCACUGCCAAAGAAUGAAGAUCAGAAGAACCAAUGGCUAAAAUUCAUUUUUACCACAAUACCAGAGCAGUACAACAAAUCCCUUUUGUUGUGUUCACAACAUUUCACUGAUGACUGCUUUUCUAAUCUAGGUGAGUACAAGGCGGGAUUUUCAAAGCAUUUGGCCAUAAAAGUGGGUUCAUUACCAACUUUAUUUAGACCAACGAGCAUCAACGCGAAGUAUGAUUAUGAAGUUAUGUGUUUGUUUUCUCCUGAGCGUCUUAUCGGUAUGUGUGCUGUCUGCAGCCUGUCUGCGCUGAUCUUCAUUUACAAAAACGUCAUUAAAAUGAAGUGUAACUCCGUGAAUACUCAACGAAGAGACAUGAGAGAGAUAUCUAUAGAAAGCUUGACAUGUCUACUUUAAAACUAAACAAGUGCUGCCGAAAACAGAUAUUCUGUGAUAAAGUAAUCCAUAUGAAAACAAUGCAAUGUCUGUUUUUCAUGUCUCGUUGUAUCUAAUGUGACCACGCCCCCGCGCUGAACACACUAUUCAGAUUCAAACUGAAGUGCACGGCUUGAAUACGCCCACACAGAAGAAAAAGCAGCGAGACUGUUCAAGUGUUUAAUUUUACUGUUUGCUUCGCGAUAAGAGUUAUAAGACCAGUGGCGAUUUCUUUAAGACUGCAAGGGAAGCUCGGCUUCCCUUAUAAUGUCACAAAAUUAAUGGUCAAAUAUGUACUAUUGUGUUAACAUUUUAUUGACUAAAAAUGCGUUAGAAAACGUUCAUCUCAAAGACGAGUUUGUUCAGAAUCAGUUACAUAUAGCAGGUCGGCUGACUCGAUUUCCUUCUCAUACAUUCCCGCAGCGUGACAGUGCAUUUCCCUAUUGAAGCCCAGCGUCCAUUGACUUCAAUGGGGCUGCUUUAAACGUUUUUUUUUCAGCGCUUCGAAACUAGACGGUCAUUGGAUAAACGCUGCGAUUAUGUCCCGCCCACGGACGCUCAGCGUCUCUGGGGGUGAAUGGGGAGUGGGCUGCCCCGGACUCCGAACUUCUGCGUGAUGAUUGGAGGGUCUGUCGAAAGACUGCAUCUCCUUUUGACUGACAGCGAUUCUGUACUAUAAGGAAUCACUGAAGCUAUUCGCGCUCAGCCCCAUCGGGGAUUUCUCAAGUUCAGUCGAAAUAAAAACUGCUGCAACCUGUUUCUUUGAUAUUUGCUUGGCGAAAUUGCUUGAUUUUCAUCAUACAUUUCACACAAUUAUACACCACAUUCCUUGUUUCAGUUUUACAGAGUUUAAUAUAUAUUUUUUUUAGAUCGUUCGUUCAUUCAUUCCUUCAUUCAUUCAUUCAUUCAUUAAACCUUAGUAGGCUAGGCUAGCGUCGUGGGUGAAACUGCGCACGAUGGCAGACGGUGCUAAUAUUGUCGACCUGAUUUUGGCGAAGCCAUUUGAAAGUGUUCCUUACGAGGAAAAACUUAGAAUUAAACAGCUGGGCAGAUCAACACCUAAGAUUGAUUUAGUGCAAAAGAUAGGGAAAAAUAACAGGUCUUUUAAGCUCUCCUGGUAUGACAAAGUUAGCUGGCUGACUGGAAGUGAUUUGACAAAUAAAAUGUACUGCUGGCCAUGCCUCUUGAUGAAACCAUCUCACGGAUGUGUUGUUUGGUCAAAGGUGGGGUUUGGAGAUCUGUCUAACUUUGACAGGGCAUAUAAAAUACAUGAAAAGAGCAAUGAACAUGUGAGUGCAUGUGCAAGAUUAAGUUGCAUGGGCAGGAUCAGGGUUGAGCAUGCAAUAAAUGAAGGUGCUCGCAUUCAAGUGGCUAAACAUAAUGAAAUAGUCAAACAAAACAGGGCCUUCCUAAACCGCCUAAUUGAUGUGACAUCCUUGCUUGGCCGACAGGAGCUGUCAUUUAGGGGACAUGAUGAGAGUAGUGAAUCAUCCAACAAGGGGAAUUAUCAAAAUCCACAAAUAGGAAAUCUUUUCUGGAGUCUGCAGGCUGUUCAAGGUUGCCCAGAAACGCUCCUACUCGAUGGAAUUUCACAUCACGGAUAGUGAGCACUGUGGCAAACAAUUAUGAUGGCCUCCUGCAGACAUUUGAGAACAUCAUUGCAGAUACAACAAUGGAUGAUGAUACACUGGAUUGUGCCAAAGGAUUUGUGAGGAAACUGGAGGAUUUUGAGUUUGUGUUCAUGUUGUACACAUAUGAACAAAUCUUCUCUGAGACUGAUGUGGUCUUUGAUAUUGUCCAGCAGAGGGCGAUGGAUGUUCUUUACUGCAAGAACAGAAUUGAAUCUCUUCUUGCAUUUGUCAAAGAAAAGAGGUCAGAGGGGGCUUUCCAAGCCAUUUAUGCCAAAACAGCAGAUCUCACAUCAGACCCAUGAGAUGAGCCCAUGAGAAAGUGCCGUCUGACCCAAUUGCAGGAUCCCCAAGUGCGAUACAGAAAUCUGUACAUGGCCAUCCUUGAUAACAUCUUGGAGCAGAUUCCUCGACGUUUUUCAAAUUUGGAAAGCAUGCUCUUCUUAGAAUUAGUCAAUCCAGGGAAAUUUGAUGACAUGAGACAGGUAUUUCCAGAGGAUGCCUUCCAAAGUGUCCUGAAAAGUUAUGGCCAUCACUUUGAUUCAGGAAGACUGAGGUCAGAACUCCAAGUCCUGUAUUCAGAUCAGGACUUGCAGGGUAACAGGGGAAAGCUGUGUGAUUACUUGGUGUUCCUUAAAGACAUGGAGUUGGACAGUGCAAUGCCUCAGCUUUACAAACUGUUCUCAUUAGUGGCAACAAUUGGAGCUACAUCUGCAGGUGUAGAAAGGAGCUUCUCCUGUUUAAAGCGACUCAAGUCCUACACCGAAACACAAUGGGCCAAGGCCGUUUAAGCAGCCUAGCUCUGCUGGCCUUUGAGAGGACACUGGUCAAGUCACUUGAAAAGACUCCUAGUUGGUACGACAGGGUCACAGACCAUUUUCUUUAAAAGGAAGUAGGGCAGAAUUUACUUUUAAAUAAAUAGCCAAUUUUAUGAUGUAGGCCGAAAAUGAGCUUCCCCUCUCUGACAGACCAGUAGCCGCCACUGAAUGAGACAUAAUUCACCCCAAACAGAUGCUAACGCAUUAUUUACCGUGAUGAUGUGUGUUGAACAACCAAUCAAAACUAUGUCAGUUGACCAAUAAGAACACAGUAUGCAACUGAAAGGUGGGGUUUAAGGAAACUGAAUCUUUUGAACAGCUUCGUGCCAACCGUUUGGGGAUCUCUGAGAAUUGAGGUAAUUAAGCCAACAUACUGUUAUGUUAUUAUGUUGGCUUGGAAACAAGCCAACAUACUGUUAUGCUAUUUAAACUUCUUCUUUUUUUUCUUAUUAUUAUUUUUCUGACAGAAAUUUUAAACGCUACUCCUCCUAGGGCUUUAAAGCCACAAGCCCCAAACUCGGCAGACACCUGCGGGAUAGAGCGGUGCUGGUUGCUAUAUCUUUUCAGACUGAUUUUUUUUAAAUUAAUUUUUAAAUGUCAAAAUACAUUACCCAUAGACUUACAUUAUCUGAGAAAAAUUGCGCCCCUAGUUGCAAUACCCGAAGGUUUACUUUCACUUUUAAAUCGGUCAGAAAUUCCGUAAAUAAUACAAUUUCCUUCAAACUGACAAGCUAAACCAACAUAUCUGAUUAUUACAGGGGUCAGGGCUCAUUAAUAAUUGAUUUCUGGGCAGAGAGCAGUCAGAAAGAUGAGAGAAGAAUCACUGCCGCUGUCUCCACGGAGCUCACAACGAGCGAAUUCAUUCUUAUUUAAGACCUUUCAAAACGGCGAUUGCACGUUAGAACACACCAAGAGCUAAAUUCAGAUGUUUCUGAACUGUUUAAAGUAAUAACAUGAUAUAUUCGCGGCAGCGCAACAGCCCGCGAGCUCGCGAUGUAUUUCUCUGAACACUUGAAGAGAAUUUACAGCCUGUCACAUUAAAACACUGCAGCGAAACGGCACAAAACAAUUAGAAGAAUAUAUUAUACACAUGAAAAUGAGUGUUUAUAUGUGAUUGUGAGAUUUUAUCUGUCAGGCUGAACCUCACAUCAAUUGCUAUCCAUCGUCACAACAUGGUAAAGUCAUUUAUAUAUAUAUUUUAAAAGCUUCUUAAAAUAAAUAUUCCUGCGAAUGCACACAAUCCACCAAUUAGAACACACUAAGAGAAAAAUCCAGGGGUUUUUGAGCCGUGUAUUUGUGCAAAAUGCAAUAUUUGACAUCGCGAAGGAAAAAAAAAUGUCACAUGACAGCCGCGUUUGGGGCGAGAUCAGACAAAUAAAUAGGCUACACAUUUCAUUCACUCUGACAAGCUAAAUCAACAUAUGUUAUUAUUACCGGGUCAGAUAUCUCAUUAAUAAAUUAUGUCUCUGACCAAAGAACAGAGAGAAAGACGAGAGAGAAAUGAGCACUUCAUCAGCAUUUUUUAAGAGAUUCCAAAAAUAAUAUCACAGCAAUAAUCCACCCAUUAGAACACAACAAGAGCAGAAUUCAGGUGUUUUUGAUAUGUUUAUGUGUGCAAAAUGACAUAUAAUUUGACAGCGUGAUACAGCUUAUGAAUACUGGAAGGAAAAAAGUCACGACAGCCUUUUAACUCUGGAGUCGAUUAACGCAUAAACGUUUUGAGUCAUUUUCUGCUGAUAACCCUGACAAUUACUUAAAUUACAUUUUCAGUUUUAAUCGUACAGAUAAGAGCAAUACAUCAAUCGAAUCUGUAAAGGGUCUACUUUUUUUUGGAUACAAACAUAAUAACAACAAAACUUUGUGCACUUAUAAAAUAAAGAUAACAAACAAGGUGUGCUGUCUUCAACCUUGUCUGCGCUAAUCUUCAUUUACAAAUACGUCAUUAAAAUAAACUGUAACUGAACUGAAUACUCAACGAAGAGACAUGAGACAUAUAUCUAUAUCUAAAGCUUGACAUGUCUACUUUUAAACUAAACAAGUGCUGCCGAACAAAUAUUCUGUGAUAAAGUACGCGAUGUCCUUUUUUCACGUCUCCCUUCAUUUUAUCUAAUGUGUAUGGAAGGCCAAGAGGGUCAAAUACACGUGAAUUUUAACGCGUCAACAACACGUUAAAUACGUGUAUUUGACGCGUAGACAACACGUAUUUAAAGCGUUAAAUGCGUGUUGUUUACUCGUGAAAAAUCUGCGUGUAUUUAACGUGUAUUUCACGUUUUAAAUACAUGUUAAAUACACGUGAAAUACACGUGAAGUAUGCCUUAAAAAUCAGUUUGAUUUUUUGGUUUGUGCUUACAGGGGUGUACCAUUCAUAGACAGGCAACCACCAUUUAACAUGCUAUAGAUCAGCUUAUUCAGCCUUAUUAUUUAGUCUUUUUUCUUUUCUGUUUUGUAUAGCCUAUAGAAAUAAUAUAUUUAAGUUUCAGUUUUAUGAAAUAUUUAUUUUAUAAUAAAUAGUAAUUAAAAUGUUGUGGUGAUAGUAUAAAGUUUAUAAAAGUUACAGUAUUUUGUAAUGAAACAUGACUUUUUGUUUAGCUCUUGACUCACCGAAGUAUACUAUAUAUAGUGUCCCUUCUUUAAUUUUUCAAUAAUGUAUGAUAACUUAAAAUAUGUUGUCAGUACUAUUAAAAUAAGAUUAAAUUGAAUGGUAUUUAGGAGAUUAUGGUUUUUGCAUGACUUAUUUCACAUUCAACUAGACAACCCUGUCGUAGCUGUUAUCAUAGCCUAGGCUUUUUAUUAAAAAAGAAAAAAGCAAGGGACCAUGGAAAAAGACUGUUGCAGGUGUAUUUUUUAUGGUAUUAUUAUUUUAUUUUUUUUGCAGCAGGGCAACUCAAGAAUGUUGGGCACACAAGUACUGUGGCUCUUUUGCCCCAUGGCCAAGAUGGCCAAGCCAACAUCAAAGUUAGUUCACUAACUUUUAAUUCUAGUUAUGUUGGCUUGGCAACAAGCCAACAUACUGUUAUGCUAUUUAAACUUCUUCUUUUUUUUUCUUAUUAUUAUUUUUCUGACAGAAAUUCUGAACGCUACUCCUCCUAGGGCUUUAAAGCCACAAGCCCCAAACUUGGCAGAAACCUGCGGGAUAGAGCGGUGAUGGUUGCUAUAUCUUUUCAGACUGAUCAGACUUAAAGUUUUUUUUUUAUUAAUUUUUAAAUGUCAAAAUACAUUACCCAUAGACUUACAUUAUCUGAGAAAAAUUGCGCCCCUAGUUGCAAUAACCGAGAUUAAGGGAGGAGUCCCUUUUCGUUUCGUUUCACUUUUAAACCGGUUAAAAAUACCAAGUAAAUAAUACAAUUUCCCUCAAACUGACAAGCUAAACCAACAUAUCUGAUUAUUACAGGGGUCAGGGCUCAUUAAUAAUUUAUUUCUGGGCAGAGAGCAGUUAGAAAGACGAGAGAAGAAUCACUGCUGCUCAGCUCAGCGCAGCUGCAGCGAAACGGCACAAAACAAUUAGAAGAAUAUAUUAUACACAUGAAAAUGAGUGUUUAUAUGUGAUUGUGAGAUUCUAUCUGUCAGGCUGAACCUCACAUCAAUUGCUAUGCAUCGUCACAACAUGGUAAAGUCAUUUAUAUAUAUAUUUUUAAGAG